UAGAGAAUUAAAAAAAGUUUCUAUCAAUUUAUAUCGGAUUACAGGAACUCCCUAAAUAAAGAAAAAACAUAAUUAGAAAAAGAAAGCUGGCCUAUCCUGAUAACCAGGUCUUUUGGCAAAAAAGAAUAGCAGAUGUUAAUUCAAAAUCGAAAAAGUAUUUAAUGAACACGAUUGAGAAGACACCGCACGUUUGACAUCUAUAGAUAGCAAGAAAGAAUAACCACAGUGUGGUGGCAGAGGAAACUAAAGCAAAGCAAAGAGAAAGUGAUGCAUAAAACAG